CUUUACUAUAGCUUGGAAUUGUGUUCGGGCUUCGAGUGCGCAGGAUAGGUGGGAGGCAUUGAAGUAUCCCUUGUGGGGGAUAUGGAGCCAACGGUGAGAUACCACUCUCUCGGAGCUAGAAUUCUAAAUCGAAUAGAGGACAGUUUCAGGUGGGUAGUUUGACUGGGGCGGUCGCCUCCAAAAGGUAACGGAGGCGUACAAAGGUUACCUCAGACUGGUUGGAAAUCAGUCGUAGAGUGCAAAGGCAGAAGGUAGCUUGACUGUGAGACGAACAGGUCAAACAGGGUGGAAACACGGUCUUAGUGAUCCGACGGUGCUGUGUGGAAGGGCCGUCGCUCAACGGAUAAAAGUUA
rnacentral:rRNA from 1 species